UGUCCAUAACUUACAGGGAGUGGUCGUUCUGUACACAAAGUUCCUGAUGCUAUCCCCGAGGCAUUUGCCUGCACUAGGUCCUGUGAGUGGGCAACUUGACUGGGUAAUGUGAUUCGUGGCUCUAACCCUUCUUGGGAAGGCAGGUAGGUUCAGUUUUGUAACGGCAACUCAGUCAAGUCAGACUGCCAGUGCUUACAGAUAGAUCAGUAGCAGGAGGAGCGGCUGUUUCUGCCUUGAGAGAAUGACUCAAGGUCUUUGGCAUGAAGAUAUGAAACAUUGGCUCCUGUUCAUGCACCUGCUGGAUGCCACACCUGUAGUCAGCACCUGAGUGCCACUCACACACAAAAACCCGACUGAAGACAAAUGGGACUUCCUUCCAAAGGGGUACAGCAAAAUAGAGAGCUCCCAAUUGUGUUAGUGGAGCUUGUCUGGGAAUUACAUGUAGCUGUCUGUCCCAGUUGUUGACUUGGGGAAACGUUUUAGAUAUUUUCUUCUAGGUGCAGCACACUCACUUGCUCAAGAUACUGUUGGAGUGCUGACGGAGUUGGCUUUUCAAAUGAAUUUUUCUUAUGAACUGGCCUCUUAAAUACCAGAGAGGCAGUCUGUGGAGGUUUUUGUCUUAUAAUCAAGCACAGGGCAGGAAGUUACAAGAUGUGGCCUUACUGCUGCUGAGGGGGAUAACAGAAGUGAAAGAGCUUUUGACUCCUUAGAAGGCUGAGAAACUAAAGAGUGACCAGUGGUUGAACUCUUGGCGGCGCUUACCCUGAACCUGAGUGUUAGGGGAGAGGGACUCUGCCACUGCGGUUUCUGGAGCUGUUCAUAAGCAAGAAUUCCCUAUCCUGAUCAAGGCUUUAAGCCUAAGAAAGCAGAAAUAGGUAUGGACAAUAAGGGUUUGUGUGUGUGUGUGUGUGUGUGUGUGUGUGUGUGUGUGUACACGUGCAUGUGUUCACCCAU